UGGGGAAUAUUGCACAAUGGGCGCAAGCCUGAUGCAGCGACCCCCCGUGAGGGAUGGAGGCCUUCGGGUUGUAAACCACUUUUGACUGGGAGCAAGCCCUUCGGGGUGAGUGUACCUUUCGAAUAAGCACCGGCUAACUACGUGCCAGCAGCCGCGGUAAUACGUAGGGUGCAAGCGUUAUCCGGAAUUAUUGGGCGUAAAGGGCUCGUAGGCGGUUCGUCGCGUCCGGUGUGAAAGUCCAUCGCUUAACGGUGGAUCCGCGCCGGGUACGGGCGGGCUUGAGUGCGGUAGGGGAGACUGGAAUUCCCGGUGUAACGGUGGAAUGUGUAGAUAUCGGGAAGAACACCAAUGGCGAAGGCAGGUCUCUGGGCCGUCACUGACGCUGAGGAGCGAAGGCGUGGGGAGCGAACAGGAUUAGAUACCCUGGUAGUCCACGCCGUAAACGGUGGAUGCUGGAUGUGGGGACCAUUCCACGGUCUCCGUGUCGGAGCCAACGCGUUAAGCAUCCCGCCUGGGGAGUACGGCCGCAAGGCUAAAACUCAAAGAAAUUGACGGGGGCCCGCACAAGCGGCGGAGCAUGCGGAUUAAUUCGAUGCAACGCGAAGAACCUUACCUGGGCUUGACAUGUUCCCGACAGCCGUAGAGAUACGGUCUCCCUUCGGGGCGGGUUCACAGGUGGUGCAUGGUCGUCGUCAGCUCGUGUCGUGAGAUGUUGGGUUAAGUCCCGCAACGAGCGCAACCCUCGCCCUGUGUUGCCAGCACGUCGUGGUGGGAACUCACGGGGGACCGCCGGGGUCAACUCGGAGGAAGGUGGGGAUGACGUCAGAUCAUCAUGCCCCUUACGUCCAGGGCUUCACGCAUGCUACAAUGGCCGGUACAACGGGAUGCGACACCGCGAGGUGGAGCGGAUCCCUUAAAACCGGUCUCAGUUCGGAUUGGAGUCUGCAACCCGACUCCAUGAAGGCGGAGUCGCUAGUAAUCGCGGAUCAGCAACGCCGCGGUGAAUGCGUUCCC
rnacentral:rRNA from 1 species